rnacentral:rRNA from 1 species
UACGUAGGGUGCGAGCGUUAAUCGGAUUUACUGGGCGUAAAGCGUGCGCAGGCGGCCCGUUAAGACAGGUGUGAAAUCCCUGGGCUCAACCUAGGAAUUGCGCUUGUGACUGGCCGGCUCGAGUACGGUAGAGGGGGGUGGAAUUCCUGGUGUAGCAGUGAAAUGCGUAGAGAUCAGGAGGAACACCGAUGGCGAAGGCAGCCCCCUGGGCCUGUACUGACGCUCAUGCACGAAAGCGUGGGGAGCAAACAGG